rnacentral:rRNA from 1 species
AUUGAACGCUGGCGGCAUGCCUUACACAUGCAAGUCGAACGGUAACGGGCCUUCGGGUGCCGACGAGUGGCGAACGGGUGAGUAAUGCAUCGGAACGUGCCCAGUGGUGGGGGAUAGCCCGGCGAAAGCCGGAUUAAUACCGCAUACGACCUACGGGUGAAAGCGGGGGACUCUUCGGGGCCUUGCGCCAUUGGAGCGGCCGAUGGCAGAUUAGGUAGUUGGUGGGGUAAAGGCCUACCAAGCCGACGAUCUGUAGCUGGUCUGAGAGGACGACCAGCCACACUGGGACUGAGACACGGCCCAGACUCCUACGGGAGGCAGCAGUGGGGAAUUUUGGACAAUGGGCGCAAGCCUGAUCCAGCCAUGCCGCGUGCGGGAAGAAGGCCUUCGGGUUGUAAACCGCUUUUGUCAGGGAAGAAAUCCUGCGGGCUAAUAUCCUGCGGGGAUGACGGUACCUGAAGAAUAAGCACCGGCUAACUACGUGCCAGCCGCCGCCGUAA